rnacentral:rRNA from 1 species
UACGUAGGGCGCAAGCGUUGUCCGGAAUUAUUGGGCGUAAAGAGCUCGUAGGCGGCUUGUCACGUCGGGUGUGAAAGCCCGGGGCUUAACCCCGGGUCUGCAUUCGAUACGGGCUAGCUAGAGUGUGGUAGGGGAGAUCGGAAUUCCUGGUGUAGCGGUGAAAUGCGCAGAUAUCAGGAGGAACACCGGUGGCGAAGGCGGAUCUCUGGGCCAUUACUGACGCUGAGACACGAAAGCCAGGGGAGCGAACGGG